GAUGAAGAACGUAGCGAAAUGCGAUACGUAAUGUGAAUUGCAGAAUUCAGUGAAUCAUCGAAUCUUUGAACGCAUAUUGCGCUCUCUGGUAUUCCGGAGAGCAUGCUUGUUUGAGUAUCAGUAAACACCUCAACUCCCUUUUCUUUUUUGAAAUUGGAGCUGGACUUGAGUGAUCCCAACGCUUUCUUCCAAGAAAGUGGCGGGUUGCUUGAAAUGCAGGUGCAGCUGAACUUUUCUCCGAGCUAUAAGCAUAUCUAUUUAGUCUGCCUAAAAAACAGAUUAUUACCUUUGCUGCAGCUAACAUAAAGGAGACUAGUUCUUGUGCUGACUGAUGCAGGAUUCACAGAGACAGCUUCGGCUGACUUUGUAAACUCGAUCUCAAAUCAAGUAAGACUACCCGCUGAACUUAAGCAUAUCAAUAAGCGGAGGA
rnacentral:misc_RNA from 1 species